CCUACGGGUGGCAGCAGUGGGGAAUUUUGGACAAUGGGGGCAACCCUGAUCCAGCAAUGCCGCGUGUGUGAAGAAGGCCUUCGGGUUGUAAAGCACUUUUUCGAGAUUGCCGGUACCGGAAGAAUAAGCACCGGCUAACUACGUGCCAGCAGCCGCGGUAAUACGUAGGGUGCGAGCGUUAAUCGGAAUUACUGGGCGUAAAGCGUGCGCAGGCGGUCUGUUAAGACCGAUGUGAAAUCCCCGGGCUUAACCUGGGAACUGCAUUGGUGACUGGCAGGCUUGAGUGUGGCAGAGGGAGGUAGAAUUCCACGUGUAGCAGUGAAAUGCGUAGAGAUGUGGAGGAAUACCGAUGGCGAAGGCAGCCUCCUGGGCCAAACUGACGCUCAUGCACGAAAGCGUGGGGAGCAAACAGGAUUAGAUACCCUUGUAGUC
rnacentral:rRNA from 1 species